CCAGCAGUGGGAAAUAUUGCCCAAUGGGGGAAACUUGAUGCAGAAACGCGACCCGGGGGGGGACGCAUUUCGGUGUGUAAACUCCUUUUAUAUGGGAAGAUAAUGACGGUGCCAUAUGAAUAAGCACCGGCUAACUCCGUGCCAGCAGCCGCGGUAAUACGGAGGGUGCAAGCGUUACUCGGAAUCACUGGGCGUAAAGCGCGCGCAGGCGGCCUUUUAAGUUGUAUGUGAAAGCCUAUGGCUCAACCAUAGAACUGCAUCCAAAACUAUCAGGCUAGAGUGUGGGAGAGGAAGAUGGAAUUAGUUGUGUAGGGGUAAAAUCCGUAGAGAUAACUAGGAAUACCAAAAGCGAAGGCAAUCUUCUGGAACAUUACUGACGCUGAGGCGCGAAAGCGUGGGGAGCAAACAGGAUUAGAUACCC
rnacentral:rRNA from 1 species